rnacentral:rRNA from 1 species
AAAAUUUUAUGAGCAAAUGGAGGAUGCCUUGGGAGAUUGAGACGAUGAAGGACGUGGCGUGCCUGCGAUAAGCCUCGGGGAGGUGGUUAGCAACCUGUGAACCGGGGAUUUCCGAAUGGGGAAACCCGAUUACGUAAAACGUAAUCAUCUCAAUGCAAAUUGAGAAGUGUACCCGCCGAAGUGAAACAUCUCAGUAGGCGGAGGAAAAAAAAGAAACGAAAUGUUUUAUUCGCUAUAUUUUAUUGUCAUUCUUUUUAAAGAUUGUAACGAUUGUAGCGAAUAAGACGUUUCAUAUUCCCUUAGUAGCGGCGAGCGAAAAGGGAAAUAGCUCAAACCUUUCUUUUUUAAGAAGGGGGUUGUAAGGGGGUGUCGUCUGGAGCCUUUCUUAGUGUUUCGUCUUUCGGGACGAAGCAAAAGAAAUGUUCUGGAGGGAGAAAAUUAGGUAGAGUUGUUAAUCAAAUGUCUCUGGGAAGAGCAACCAUAGAGGGUAAUAGUCCCGUAGAUGAAAAUAACUUUAUGCUCCUUGAUACUUUACUUGAGUACCUCGGGAAACGAAGACCCCGGGGGAAACCGGCAGGACUAUACUGCCAAAGCUAAAUACUCAAUCUCACCGAUAGUGAACUAGUACCGUGAGGGAAAGGUGAAAAGUAGGCGGGUGACGCCGAUGAAAUAGAACCUGAAACCAUUUUGCUUACAAGGAGUCAGCGCGGUGUCUCACUAGCGCUCGACACCGCUUAAAUUGAAAAGUAAAAUCUCAAAAUGCAAAAUUAUUGUAUCGUGCUUCGCGCGAUGGAUCAUAAUCCGUUCCGCAAAGCGGGGCACAUAAAUUUUGACUUUUUCAUUUUUAACUUUUAGUUUAGGUGGCGAGCGAUAGCGAGACACCGUUAUGGCGUGCCUAUUGAAGAAUGACCCAACGAGUUAAAGUACAAAACUUGUCUAAGCUCUUAUGGAGCGGAGGCGUAGCGAAAGCAAGUGUUAAAAGCGCGUUAUUGUUUUGUGCUUAAGACCCGAAGCCAAGCGAGCUUGCCAUGACCAGGGUGAAGAUCGACGAAAGUCGAUUGGAGGCCCGAACCAGUGAGCCGUUCAAAACUCUUGGAUGAGUUGUGGUAAGAAGUAAAAAGCUAAUCGAGCUUGGGAAUAGCUGGUUCUCCCCGAAAGAUCUUUUGGGAUCGCGUCCAUUUAUAAAUUUUCGCAGGUAGAGCACUGGAAAGAAUAUCUUGGAGUUUCUCCAGGUAUUUUUACCAAACUCCGAAUGGCGGACAAUUUUAAUGGGCAGUCAGACUGUGGGGGCUAAGCUCCGCAGUCGAAAGGGAAAAAGCCCUUAUCUUAAUCUAAGGUCCCUAAAUUUUCCGUUUUUCAACGGACCCCGUUACAAUUUUGCAACUGAAAAACAGAGCGAAGUGCGAGCGGCGAAUAGCCGCACCCCAAACAUGGGCGCAGCGCUUCGCCCAAAGCAGGAUGUGCCUAUUCGGCACACGCACUGCGUAAGUUAUUCGGAGGCAGAAUUGUAACGGGGGAGCUAAGUGUAAAGUAAGGAAGUAGAAUUCUUUUGAUAGUUAGGAGGUUAGCUUAGAAGCAGCUACCCUUUAAAAAGUGCGUAACAGCUUACUAAUUAAGGAAUUCUGCGCCGAAGAUUGCCGGGACUAAGCUCAGUACCGAAGAUAAGACAUGAUAUUCAAUUCGUUGAAUAUCUUGGGUAGGGGAGCAUUUCUAGUGCAACGAAGCCUACGGGUAACCAAAGGUGGAGCGCUAGGAAGUGAGAAUGUUGGGAUGAGUAACCAUUUGGUGAGUUAUUGGAUUCUCAUUGUUUAUCUUAAGAUUUUUCAAGGAUAAGCAGGAUGCUUUGUUUCGACAGGGCAAACCAAAGUGAGCAAACUUCCUAGAAAAUUCUCUGAAGAAUUUAAUUACAUAUUUAACACGUACUAAAACCGACACAGGUAGGCAGGUCGAGAAGACCAAGGUGAACGAGUGAAACCUUGUUAAGGAACUCGGCAAAAAAGCGUCCGUAAGUUCGCAAUAUGGACUGCCGCCUUUAUGGCGGCCGCAGCGAAAGUACCCCUAGCGGCUGUUUAACAAAAACACAGGUCCCUGCUUAACUCGUAAGAGGAUGUAUAGGGGCCGAGGCCUGACCAGUGCUGGUACGUUAAAGUCGGCGGUUUUCCCGCUUUGCGGGAUGGCUAACUGACCUAAGCGCCAGUGAACGUCCGCGGUAACUAUAACCGUGUUAAAGUAGCGUAAUCCCUUGCCCAGGGAGACUUUGAGUCCGUUAUUUCGGUGACGGAGGAGUCGUCAAUGAAACACCUGUCUUUUAAAAGAAUAAGACUAAUCUACUUCAACGUGGAGACUGCCUCCUAAAAAGUAAUGGAGGCGUCUAAAGGUUGGCUAGCUCCGGAUGGAAAUCGGAGUUGUCGGGUAAACCCAAAAGCCAGCUUAACUGCAAGGAGGAUAUUCCGCGCAGUUGCGAAAGCAGAGGUUAGUGAACCGAUGGUAAUUUUUAGAAUUGCCAGAGAUCAUUAUCCUGGGGCUGGAGAAGGUCCCAAGGGUUCGGCUGUUCGCCGAUUAAAAAGUUACGUGAGCUGGGUUCAAACCGUCGUGAGACAGGUUGGUCCCUAUCUACCGUAGGCGUCAAGUCUUGAAGAGAGUUGAUCCUUGUACGAGAGGAUCGGAUCGAACUGACCUCUGGUGUACCAGUUGUUCCGCCAGGAGCAUUGCUGGGUAGCUAAGUCGGGAACUGAUAAGUGCUGAAAGCAUCUAAGCACGAAGCAGACUCUAAGAUUAGGACUUUUAGUUUCCCCGAAGAUAACGGGGUUGAUAGGGUGCAAGUGUAAGGAUCGUAAGGUCUUGAGCUGAGCACUACUAAUAAAACG